rnacentral:rRNA from 1 species
CAGUAGCCACGGUAAAACGAAGGGUGCAAGCGUUACUCGGAAUUACUGGACGUAAAGCGUGCGUAGGUGGUUGUUUAAGUCUGCUGUGAAAGCCCUGGGCUCAACCUGGGAAUUGCAGUGGAUACUGGGCGACUAGAGUAAGGUAGAGGAUAGUGGAAUUUCCGGUGUAGCAGUGAAAUGCGUAGAGAUCGGAAGGAACAUCUGUGGCGAAGGCGACUAUCUGGGCCAACACUGACACUGAGGCACGAAAGCGUGGGGAGCAAACAGGAUUAGAUACCCCCGUAGUCCCUGUCUCUUAUAC